GGAUGGGAAUGCUAUCAGAGAGGUACGCUAGCUUGGCAUCGCUCCCCCUUCACGGAUCCCCAUAUCGAUCACUUGGCAUCGAAGCUCAUGCCUCCGUACAUCAACGUGCCUCUCAACAACAAGAAAGGCAUAUGCAUGCUAUUAGAGGCGGGGCAAGAUUCGAACAGAGCUAUUUCGGGGUGCCAGUAUACAUGGAGGAUGAUGACAUGGAGAUGUUUUGGCCCGGGAGCUUCCGUCAAGUUGACGGAGUCGGUAGCAACGUCGUGCUUAAUUCAGGUCAGAGGUCCAACAUAAAUUUUGUACCAAUGGCUCCACCACCUAAUACACAACCAUCAUUGCCUGACCUGAAUUUGAAAUUGUGACACUCUUGCCAUUCACAUUUCUAUAUCUAUUUCGACAUCCCUCCUUUUCCGGAAAAAA
rnacentral:misc_RNA from 1 species